rnacentral:rRNA from 1 species
UACCUGAUGGUAUGAUGAGAUUGCAUGAUAGCAUCAUUAAAGAUUCAUCGGUGUACGAUGGGGAUGCGUUCCAUUAGGUAGUAGGCGGGGUAACGGCCCACCUAGCCUACGAUGGAUAGGGGUUCUGAGAGGAAGGUCCCCCACAUUGGAACUGAGACACGGUCCAAACUCCUACGGGAGGCAGCAGUGAGAAAUAUUGGUCAAUGGACGAGAGUCUGAACCAGCCAAGUAGCGUGAAGGAUGAAGGUCCUACGGAUUGUAAACUUCUUUUAUAAGGGAAUAAAACCUCCCACGUGUGGGAGCUUGUAUGUACCUUAUGAAGAAGCAUCGGCUAACUCCGUGCCAGCAGCCGCGGUAAUACGGAGGAUGCGAGCGUUAUCCGGAUUUAUUGGGUUUAAAGGGAGCGCAGACGGGUCGUUAAGUCAGCUGUGAAAGUUUGGGGCUCAACCUUAAAAUUGCAGUUGAUACUGGCGUCCUUGAGUGCGGUUGAGGUGUGCGGAAUUCGUGGUGUAGCGGUGAAAUGCUUAGAUAUCACGAAGAACUCCGAUUGCGAAGGCAGCACACUAAGCCGUAACUGACGUUCAUGCUCGAAAGUGUGGGU